AGCUUCUGAACGGUACACCGUACCUAGCCUUAUGACGCGCUGCGCGCCGGUCAACCAGCCAUGUUCACCUCGCCAUGCCUAUGGCAUAGUACUUGAACGCCGAUCGACGGCACUCAUCUCCGUGGCGAAAUCAGGCAUGAGUUUGACCAGCCAACCUCCGACAGUACUGGAUAAGCGUUAUUUCGAGCCGUUUGACCGCACCUAUGCGGACGUAACCAAAGGAAUGAUGUCCGCCGCCGCCCGACUGAGCGGCGCCGACCGAGAUUGGCUCUACCGUCUGAUCGAUACAUUCGCGACAGAGCGAACCCUGUGGAAUC
rnacentral:misc_RNA from 1 species